rnacentral:rRNA from 1 species
AUUGAACGCUAGCGGCAGGCUUAACACAUGCAAGUCGAGCGGGGUAGGUUGCUUCGGUAACUGACCUAGCGGCGGACGGGUGAGUAAUGCUUAGGAAUCUGCCUAUUAGUGGGGGACAACAUUCCGAAAGGGAUGCUAAUACCGCAUACGCCCUACGGGGGAAAGCAGGGGAUCUUCGGACCUUGCGCUAAUAGAUGAGCCUAAGUCGGAUUAGCUAGUUGGUGGGGUAAAGGCCUACCAAGGCGACGAUCUGUAGCCGGUCUGAGAGGAUGAUCCGCCACACUGGGACUGAGACACGGCCCAGACUCCUACGGGAGGCAGCAGUGGGGAAUAUUGGACAAUGGGCGGAAGCCUGAUUCAGCCAUGCCGCGUGUGUGAAGAAGGCCUUUUGGUUGUAAAGCACUUUAAGCGUGGAGGAGGCUCUUAAGGUUAAUACCCUUGAUGAGUGGACGUUACUCGCAGAAUAAGCACCGGCUAACUCUGUGCCAGCAGCCGCAGUAAGAC